rnacentral:rRNA from 1 species
GUGAGAACCUGCCCUCAGGAGGGGGAUAACGGCCGGAAACGGCCGCUAAUACCCCAUAUGCCGAGAGGUGAAAUGAAUUUCGCCUGAGGAUGGGCCCGCGUCUGAUUAGCUAGUUGGUGGGGUAAUGGCCCACCAAGGCGACGAUCAGUAGCUGGUCUGAGAGGAUGAUCAGCCACACUGGGACUGAGACACGGCCCAGACUCCUACGGGAGGCAGCAGUGGGGAAUUUUCCGCAAUGGGCGAAAGCCUGACGGAGCAACGCCGCGUGAGGGAUGAAGGCCUCUGGGCUGUAAACCUCUUUUCUCAAGGAAGAAGACAUGACGGUACUUGAGGAAUAAGCCACGGCUAAUUCCGUGCCAGCAGCCGCGGUAAUACGGGAGUGGCAAGCGUUAUCCGGAAUUAUUGGGCGUAAAGCGUCCGCAGGCGGCCUUGUAAGUCUGUCGUUAAAGCGUGGAGCUUAACUCCAUUUGAGCGAUGGAAACUACAAGGCUUGAGUGUGGUAAGGGCAGAGGGAAUUCCCGGUGUAACGGUGAAAUGCGUAGAUUUCGGGAAGAACACCAGUGGCGAAGGCGCUCUGCUGGGCCAUAACUGACGCUCAUGGACAAAAGCCAGGGGAGCGAAAGGG